GAGUUUGAUCUUGGCUCAGAUUGAACGCUGGCGGCAGGCCUAACACAUGCAAGUCGAGCGGAUGACGGGAGCUUGCUCCUUGAUUCAGCGGCGGACGGGUGAGUAAUGCCUGGGAAUCUGCCUGGUAGUGGGGGACAACGUUUCGAAAGGAACGCUAAUACCGCAUACGUCCUACGGGAGAAAGCAGGGGACCUUCGGGCCUUGCGCUAUCAGAUGAGCCUAGGUCGGAUUAGCUAGUUGGUGGGGUAAUGGCUCACCAAGGCGACGAUCCGUAACUGGUCUGAGAGGAUGAUCAGUCACACUGGAACUGAGACACGGUCCAGACUCCUACGGGAGGCAGCAGUGGGGAAUAUUGGACAAUGGGCGAAAGCCUGAUCCAGCCAUGUCGCGUGUGUGAAGAAGGUCUUCGGAUUGUAAAGCACUUUAAGUUGGGAGGAAGGGCAGUAAGUUAAUACCUUGCUGUUUUGACGUUACCGACAGAAUAAGCACCGGCUAACUCUGUGCCAGCCGCCG
rnacentral:rRNA from 1 species